rnacentral:rRNA from 1 species
CCUACGGGAGGCAGCAGUGGGGAAUAUUGGGCAAUGGGCGCAAGCCUGACCCAGCAACGCCGCGUGAAGGAAGAAGGCUCUCGGGUUGUAAACUUCUUUUAUCAGGGACGAAGCAAGUGACGGUACCUGAUGAAUAAGCCACGGCUAACUACGUGCCGGCGGCGGCGGUAAUCGGUAGGUGGCAAGCGUAAUCCGGAUUUAUUGGGUGUAAAGGGCGUGUAGGCGGGAAAGCAAGUCAGAUGUGAAAACCAUGGGCUCAACCUGUGGCCUGCAUUUGAAACUGUGUGUCUUGAGUACGGGGGAGGCAGACGGAAUUCGUGGUGUAGCGGUGAAAUGCGUAGAUAUUAGGAGGAACACCAGUGGCGAAGGCGGUCUGCUGGACAGCAACUGACGCUGAGGCGCGAAAGCGUGGGGAGCAAACAGGAUUAGAUACCCUGGUAGGC